CCUACAGGUGGCAGCAGUGAGGAAUAUUGGUCAAUGGACGGAAGUCUGAACCAGCCAUGCCGCGUGAAGGAAGACGGCUCUAUGAGUUGUAAACUGCUUUUGUACAAGGGUAAACCUGAAUACGUGUAUCCAGUUGAACGUACUUUACGAAUAUGGCUCGGCUACCUCCGUGCGAGCAGCCGCGGUAAUAAGCAGGUGGCAAGCGUUAUCCGGAUUUACUGGGUGUAAAGGGAGCGUAGACGGUGCGCCAAGUCAGGAGUGAAAUGCCGCGGCUUAACUGCGGAACUGCAUUUGAAACUGGCGAACUAGAGUGCGGGAGAGGUAGGCGGAAUUCCUAGUGUAGCGGUGAAAUGCGUAGAUAUUAGGAGGAACACCAGUGGCGAAGGCGGCUUACUGGACCGUAACUGACGGUGAGGCGCGAAAGCGUGGGGAGCAAACAGGAUUAGAUACCCUGGUAGUC
rnacentral:rRNA from 1 species